rnacentral:rRNA from 1 species
UGGGGAAUAUUGCACAAUGGGCGAAAGCCUGAUGCAGCAACGCCGCGUGAGUGAUGAAGGUCUUCGGAUUGUAAAGCUCUGUCUUUUGGGACGAUAAUGACGGUACCAAAGGAGGAAGCCACGGCUAACUACGUGCCAGCAGCCGCGGUAAUACGUAGGUGGCGAGCGUUGUCCGGAUUUACUGGGCGUAAAGGGUGCGUAGGCGGAUGUUUAAGUGAGAUGUGAAAUACCCGGGCUUAACUUGGGUGCUGCAUUUCAAACUGGAUAUCUAGAGUGCAGGAGAGGAGAAUGGAAUUCCUAGUGUAGCGGUGAAAUGCGUAGAGAUUAGGAAGAACACCAGUGGCGAAGGCGAUUCUCUGGACUGUAACUGACGCUGAGGCACGAAAGCGUGGGUAGCAAACAGGAUUAGAUACCCUGGUAGUCCACGCCGUAAACGAUGAGUACUAGGUGUAGGAGGUAUCGACCCCUUCUGUGCCGCAGUAAACACAUUAAGUACUCCGCCUGGGAAGUACCGAUCGCAAGAUUAAAACUCUAAAGUGAAUUGACGGGGGUC